rnacentral:rRNA from 1 species
AUGGCGGUCUCUCUAGGUGUUCUAGUGUGGAAUGUAAGGGGGCUUAAUAACCCUGCUAGGGGGUGCUCGAUCAGACUGUUCUCCUAGUCCUACAAUAUCUCUCUAGUUUGUUUGCAAGAAUCUAAGAUGGAACUGUUGGAUGCGGCGGUGGUUUGCGAGACUUUGGGUCCCGCUUUUGAUGGCUUUGAUUUUCUUCCGGCGGAAGGCACGAGAGGUGGCAUUUUGAUGGCAUGGAAAUCG